GGGUCGGUGGCGUAGCUGGUUAUCGCAUCUGUCUAACAUGGUUUUGGAGCAAUACCUACACAGAAGGUCCUCAGUUCGAACCUGGGCCGACUCA